rnacentral:rRNA from 1 species
AUAUAUAGAUAUCUGUUGAGAUAUAUGGCACCAGAUCCCAUGUGAUCUUGGAAGCUAAGGUGGAUCAGGCCUGGUUAGUACCUGGUGGGAGACCAAUGAAUACCAGAUCCUGUAGACC